UGUUUGUAUGUCUUUUUGUUUGUCUGUCUUUUUGUCUGUCUGUCUGUCUGUUUGUUUGUGUAUCUAUGUUUGUGUAUAUGUUUACCUGUCUGUCUGUCUGUCUGUCUGUCUGUUUACCUGUUUGUCGGUCGGUCCCGGAUGUGGUAUGGUGGUUACUGGAGUUUGAACCCGCCUGGUCACAAAUCGUUUUCUUGGAGUAUUUGUUUGGUUUUCGUCAGUUCUGCAGUCAGACGGCAUUUUUAAAAGUUCGGAUGUCGACCAUCUGUUGCCCAUACACCCGUUGUAGACAAGAAAACGUGCUCAAACGAAUUCUGGCACAUAUCAGGGACUCUCACUGCUCAGAUGAUUGUCCAACAGAUUUUAUUGAAGAACAUGGGUUGUCCAAAUGUCCUGGAUGCUCACAGUGGUUUUUGAAGCUUCAACAACAUGCUUCCAAGUGUUGUAGGUCAUCCAGCGUAACCGCAACGCCUCAGGCUACGCUUACUACGUCAACACCGGCUCUGCCACCUCCAAACUCAAGGAAGCCAAGGGCACCUGAGGACAUUGCUUUUGGAACGGCCUUUGAAUCAUGUUGGUCUUCCUUGGAUCGAGAAAGUGACGCUUGGCGCCUGAUAGACUCCUUCACAACGGAAGCCAUACUGGACUGGACGCCGCUUAGAACAGUGCAGAAUGUAACACCUGCAUUACGCGCGAUGUUUCAGGACUGCUGCGCUAUUGCUUUGAGAAAGAUUGAAGAGGAACCAGCAAAUGACAGAGGAUGGAAACUUCUCCUACUUCUUCCCAGGAUGCUUCUCCAACCGCAUGCACGUGGCGGUAAAGUGGGCACGCGGGAGGUCAAGGCAAUUUACACACGGUUUCUACAAUUUCAUUGGCAAGAACUGAUUCUAAAUCGGAGUCACUUAUCACGCUCUACUCCUUCUACAGAAGUUGAUCAGAGGAAGAAAGCUGCACUAAGUCUAGUUCAUUGUGGAGAAUUGUCACGUGCAUCAAGAGUUCUAACUAGUCAGGGUUUUGCCCCUGCUACAGACGACACAGUGGCACAGUUACUAUCCAAGCAUCCACAUCGUAUGAUAUCUUCACAUCGACCAGAGGAAACCUCAAAAAUGGAGUCAGAUUCAGUUAAUCCCAUUUCUCUGAAAAAGGAGGCAUUUUUCAAUGCAAUCAAGAAAGCACCAAGAGGAAGUGGUGCUGGCCCUUCUGGCUGGCGUUAUGAGCACCUGAAUACUCUUUUGGAGAAUGACUUAACUUGCGAACUGCUAUAUCUAGUGUGUUCUCUAAUCGCUGGAGGCAAAGUUCCAAAUUCAGUCUUGCCUCUCCUGACAGCGUCUCGUCUCAUCGCCUUACCUAAAGCAAACGAUGAUGUUAGACCUAUUGCGAUUGGUGAAGUGAUUCGAAGAGCUACUGCUAAGGCUAUUUGUAGCCAGAUGAAUAGUUCUUUUGCUUCUUACUUCAAGCCAAUUCAACAUGGAAUUGCAACACCUGGUGGGGCUGAGCUUUUAGUUCAUCACCUUUCAUUCCUUAUGGAGAAUAACCCAGGCUUGUCUGUUCUCUGUACCGAUGUCAAAAAUGCCUUCAAUUCAGUAUCGAGAGACAGUAUUCUAAGUCAGGUCAUGAAAGUGUUUCCUGAAAUAUACCAUCACGUGAGGCAAAUGUAUGACAGUCCGAGUAAUUUGAUUUAUGUCAAGGGGAAAGAUAUAGUGAAACUACAAUCAGAGGAAGGAGUUCACCAGGGUGACCCUCUUGGUCCAGUCCUGUUCUCAAUUGCUUUACAACCAAUCAUUGCCUCAGUUCAAGACCGUCAUCAAGAUACAACUAUGCUGGCGUAUUUGGAUGACGUAUAUGUUGUUGGUUUGCCUGAAUCUUCCAUCUCAGUCUUUGAUGAUGUAAAAGGCUCCCUCAAAGAUGUUGGCCUGACUAUACGAGACGAGAAAUGCAAGCUGUAUUACCCAGAUGCGCCAGAGCACUUCGCUACAACAGUUCCUAUUACAAGAGUAGGAGUCCAUGUGUUGGGGACGCCUAUAGGCGCACCUAGUUACAUCCAAUCAAGUUGUACAAGGGUAGCACAGGAUGGCAGUUCACUUUGCUCUAAGCUAAAAGAUCUUGAUGAUCCUCAGUGCAGUCUUCUGUUACUCAGACAUUGCCACGUCCCAAAAAUGAAUCAUCUUGCCAGGACUGUAUCUCCCAGGGAUGUAUCAGAAGCUGCGGGUAUCCAUGACCUCCUUACCAGAAAGACUUUCACUGACAUCAUAGGAUUGGAUCGGUUGGACAACACCAAGUGGAAACAAGCAUCCCUGAAAAUUAAAUUCGGUGGAUUCGGGCUCACGUCAAUUCGAGGUACAGCUCCUGCUGCAUUUUUGGCAGCAUGGGCACACUCACUUAAAGAACUCCCCAAUAGAUUUCCAUCAAUGUGUCGGGACUUAGAAAAUCUCUAUCAAAGCAGCCCUAAGAAUGAUUCCUCUACCAUAAGGUCAACCUUGUAUCAAGCAGUGUCUAAUCUUCCUCCCAAGUCAAACUUGGACGAUGAAGAAGAAAUUAUAUAUCACACUCUAGAGGAGAUGAUCAAGAACCCCAGGAAACUACAGCAUCGUUUAUCAACGGACAUUUCCUGCAUGGAAGCAGCAACAUUUACCAAUAGAAUAGUUGAGGAAAAGGACGCGGGAAGAAUGAGAUCCUUGCAAGGACGAGGGGCGGGAGGAUGGCUUGAAACAGUCCCCACUUCAGACAAGCACGCACUAAAGCAGAAUGAAUUUCGUCUAGCGUCUUGUCUGAGGUUGGGUGUCUGUCUGCCAUUCAGUCAGCUCCUUGUAAAAUGUGAGUGUGGAGCAGAGCUGGACAGAGAAGGAUAUCACUUGAUUACAUGUAAGUAUGGGGGAGGUCCUGUCUGGACGCACAACACCCUAGUUUCUGGAUGGAGCGAGUGUCUCAGCGAUUUGCUCAUAUGCCACCAGAUUGAGCCAAGACACAGAUACAUCCACACCGAAGAUAGACCAGACAUCACAUUUUACGACGUAGACUCAGGAACAACAAAAGAGAUAGAUGUUGCUAUGGCUCAUCCCUGGAGCAAAGAUACCAUCAAGGGAGCGUCCACGACAUGUGGAUAUGCAGCAACAAAACGAGAGGCAAGGAAGGAAGUAAAGUAUCGCAAAGAAUCAUUACCAGAUGGUUCUAAGCCUUUUGUUACUCCUCUGGUGUUCGAACACUUUGGUCGUUGGGGACCCAAAGCAGAGGAAUUUUUAAAUGAACUUGCAAAGAAGUCCAAAGACAUGCUGGGAAGGAAAAAUGAAGCAGCGUUUAGAAGCUAUUGGAGAAGAAGAUUUUCUGUGAUUAUUCAGAAAUGUAACAGUAGAGUUGUUUUAAGAAAGCUAUCUAGGCUUUCAUUGAAUUGUUUGGAUGGACAAGACAAGCUAGAGAUGGACAAAGCCAUUCAUAGUUCUAUUCAUUAAUUAAAACGAAGAACAGUAGGAAAGUAGAACUUUUAGUACUGCAGCAAGUGAUGUAAGUAGUGACGUUUGAUGACAAUAAAACAAAUCUGUCUGUCUGUCUGUCUGUCUGUCUGUCUGUCUGUCUGUCUGUUUGUUUACCUGUCUGUCUGUCUGUCUGUUUACUUGUCUGUCUGUCUGUCUGUCUGUCUGUCUGUUUGUUUACCUGUCUGUUUACUUGUCUGUCUGUUUACUUGUCUGUCUGUCUGUCUGUCUGUCUGUCUGUUUACCUGUUUGUCUGUCUGUCUGUCUGUCUGUUUGUUUACCUGUCUGUCUGUCUGUCUGUCUGUCUGUCUGUCUGUCUGUCUGUCUCUAUCAGUCUGUCUGUCUGUCUGUCUGUCUGUCUGUCUGUUUACCUGUCUGUGUGUCUGUCUGUCUGUCUGUCUGUCUGUCUGACUGUCAAAUUUUCAUAUAUUUUUAUACAUCAAAGCUAAUACAGGUGAAACUAAAGUAACAGCAACUGUCUGUCUGUUUCUGUCUGUGUAUGUGUCUGUCUGUUUGUCGGUCUGUUUGUCGGUCUGUUUGUUUGUCUUUUGUCUUUCUGUCACUACACAAUGUUUCUGUGUUCUCAGGACUUAGCUGUCUGUAUGUCUCAAGUAUUAUAUUAUGUUAUUGCUUUAGGACUAUUGGCUUCACGUCUGUUAACGUGUUGUUGUCGAAUGCAGCCAGUUCUUCUGUUCGUGGAGCUGUGAAUGGUAUUGGUACGUCUGGAGCAUCACUCGGUCGCAUGAUUGGUCCAACAGUUGGUGCUGUAGUGUUUGCAUGGAGU